rnacentral:rRNA from 1 species
UAGGGAAUAUUGGACAAUGGGUGAGAGCCUGAUCCAGCCAUGCCGCGUGCAGGAAGAAGGCGUUAUGCGUUGUAAACUGCUUUUGCCAGGGGAUAAAAUGACCGUGCGCGGUUAAUUGAAGGUACCUGGUGAAUAAGCCACGGCUAACUACGUGCCAGCAGCCGCGGUAAUACGUAGGUGGCAAGCGUUGUCCGGAUUUAUUGGGUUUAAAGGGUGCGUAGGUGGCCCUGUAAGUCAGUGGUGAAAUAUCUCAGCUUAACUGAGAGGGUGCCAUUGAUACUGCAGGGCUUGAGUACAGAAGGGGCAAUCGGAAUUCUUGGUGUAGCGGUGAAAUGCGUAGAUAUCAAGAGGAACACCUGAGGUGAAGACGGGUUGCUGGGCUGACACUGACGCUGAGGCGCGAAAGCCAGGGGAGCAAACGGGAUUAGAUACCCCCGUAGUCCCUGAGCGGGCUGGCAAGGCGCAU